UCAGGCCUAACACAUGCAAGUCGAACGGCAGCACGGGUGCUUGCACCUGGUGGCGAGUGGCGAACGGGUGAGUAAUACGUCGGAACGUACCUUAUCGUGGGGGAUAACGCAGCGAAAGUUGCGCUAAUACCGCAUACGCCCUGAGGGGGAAAGCGGGGGACCGUAAGGCCUCGCGCGAUUAGAGCGGCCGAUGUCUGAUUAGCUUGUUGGUGAGGUAAAAGCUCACCAAGGCGAUGAUCAGUAGCUGGUCUGGGAGGACGAUCAGCCACACUGGGACUGAGACACGGCCCAGACUCCUACGGGAGGCAGCAGUGGGGAAUUUUGGACAAUGGGGGCAACCCUGAUCCAGCAAUGCCGCGUGAGUGAAGAAGGCCUUCGGGUUGUAAAGCUCUUUUGUCAGGGAAGAAACAGCACCUCUAACACAGUUGCGAAUGAC
rnacentral:rRNA from 1 species